UAUAUACUCUCUCUGUUCGGAAAUACUUCUCAUCAAAAUGGAUAAAAGGGAUGUAUCUAGAUGUAUUUUAGUUUUAGAUACAUCCCUUUUUGUCCAUUUUGAUGACAAGUAUUUUCGGACAGAGAGAGUAUAAU
rfam:Triticum urartu cultivar G1812 contig380580, whole genome shotgun sequence.